UAUCCUACCUCCACCUCUGCAGCUGCCCCUUGGUCACCCUGCAUGGGGGGCCUGGUCUCCUUGUCCCUCUGGUCAGGAGGUCAGCCCUAUGCGAAGCGGGUUAAGCCACAAUUUCGCUCCACGACGCUUUCAUCUUGGGUGUUUGUCAUUCCUCCUGAACUUGAACCGGCAUCGCUAGAGCUGUAAGGAACAGCCUGGGUCUGUACGGGCCGGUCCAUUCACAACGAACACCGGCCGGGACCCGCUGUCGAGCCCAGCUGCAGCUCCCCUCCGCCGGACCCGGAGAAAGCUCUGUGCUUUUCUCCGAGCCUUCCUGGGGUAACAGUCACGCACAGAUCGCUGGCUCUGUUCCUGCUCUUUUCCCAAAGCUAGCUCAUGACAAGCUACAGUCUCCAUCCCUGGACCGGCUCAGUCCAGGUUUCACAGUUGUGUUCAAUCUUGACCCCUAUAACUGAUCCAUUUUGUUCGUUUAAAUGAAGCUAUAAAGGCCCAGCCGACACAUGCUGCUUGCAGACACCUGGCUCUAGCUGAUAGGCACUGCACUGUGCUGUUGCCCGCAGCUAAUGAAGUCUAGCCCAGGGACACGGCACUUCACCACUGUCUGCUCACACUGAGGCAAAGCCAGCGGGAACUGUGCUAUCCCUGUAAUGAAGGGGAAGUGAAUUUUGAGUGCCCCAGGAUCUUGGAAAUAAAAAUGGAAUAAAUACAUAAAAUUAUGACAGGAAAAACAAUACUCCAUAUCUCCGCUCCACCACCCUCCCAGCGCACCUGUAUCACUCAUGCGUGUGCAUGUCUGCUUCGGUGCUUGUAAAGUGACAUCCGGUGCUCCGAGAUCUCCUGGUGGGAGGAACAGCUCCUGGCUGUCGUUAGGAGGGAGUGAGUGAGUGAUCAAGCGCCGCUGCUGCGUGUGUCAGGCCGUCAGCGGGGCUGGGGGGCUUG